rnacentral:rRNA from 1 species
CCAUGAAGUCGGAAUCGCUAGUAAUCGUAGAUCAGAAUGCUACGGUGAAUACGUUCCCGGGCCUUGUACACACCGCCCGUCACACCAUGGGAGUGGGUUGCAAAAGAAGUAGGUAGCUUAACCUUCGGGAGGGCGCUUACCACUUUGUGAUUCAUGACUGGGGUGAAGUCGUAACAAGGUAACCG